CCUACGGGUGGCAGCAGUCGAGAAUCAUUCACAAUGGGGGAAACCCUGAUGGAGCGACGCCGCGUGGGGGAAUGAAGGUCUCCGGAUUGUAAACCCCUGUCAUGUGGGAGCAAAUUAAAAAGAUAGUACCACAAGAGGAAGAGACGGCCAACUCUGGGCCAGCAGCCGCGGUAAUACGGAGGUCUCAAGCGUUGUUCGGAAUCACUGGGCGUAAAGCGUGCGUAGGCUGUUUCGUAAGUCGUGUGUGAAAGGCGCGGGCUCAACCCGCGGACGGCACUUGAUACUGCGAGACUAGAGUGAUGGAGGGGGAACCGGAAUUCUCGGUGUAGCGGUGAAAUGCGUAGAUAUCGGGAGGAACACUCGUGGCGAAGGCGGGUUCCUGGACAGUAACUGACGCUGAGGCACGAAAGCCCGGGGAGCGAAAAGGAUUAGAUACCCGAGUAGUC
rnacentral:rRNA from 1 species